AUGUUCUUAUCAAUGUGUCUCAAUCCACACUAUAUCCUACUUGUUGCUAACUGAAAGGACAAAGCAUUUGACUUUUGGAUUUUAUAUGGUUGAUGGUACAUCAGGUUGGGACAUAGCAUAUUUUUCUACACUAGACGCACCUACACCCAUUGAACAUGCUCUAAUUAAUGCCAUAUAUGCUCUAUAGUAGUCAUAUAGAUAAAGUACAUGCAAUAAGUAAUUUAUGGUUAAGUCAUUAUUUUUACAUCCUUCCCAUGUUUAUGAGGUUCAACACACUCAAUGAUACCAUAUGUUGAUAAACUAUAUUUUCGUUCUCCUUUUCAUUUGUUUAUUGGGUUUUACAAUUGAAAUCCUUAUUAAGAGCGGUCAACUUUCCAUAUUUCAAAUAUAGAACUAGAUGAUCAAAUUUCUAUUUGAACUUACCUCCAUAAACCUAGGCAGCAAGAAAAGUUUGAGUGUUAUAGUUAGUUUAUUGUAUUCUCUGUUUUGUCAAUUAGCAGCUACACGAAAAAGAGGUAAAUAGUUGAUACAAAUGAGACUGCAUAUUUUCUAAUUGACUUUUGUAAAAUCUAGAAUGUGGCAAUAUUAACGUUGACGGUGUAGGUGUGCAUAUAUACUAAUACAAGUUUGGGCAUGUACAGGAAGUCCUUGAUAUUGGUUUGCACGAAACAUUUGCAACAUGAAGAUGCCAAGAAUUGGAAGCUUAUAUCUAUGGAUACACUUCCAAUACAAAAUAAAUACAUUUAAGAGUGGCAGGAUGUUUUGCAUAGAGUUCAUUAGCCAUGGAGACCAUGAUUCAAUAGUCAAAUAUGAGCAGUUGGGUUAAGUGGGUUAAUUCUGAUCCACCUACAGCCAUAUUGCACCUGGAGGUGCCGUGUUGGGAACUUAAGGAAGAAGAAUAAAAUUUGAAGUUGACUUGGAAUAAAUGCCCAUAUCAUGAUCAUCAUGUGGUUCUUUUGUGAUUUGCUUGUUGUGAGCAGUCCUCUAAUCAAGGGCAGGGUUAGGUGCAAUGCAGCAGUUUGUUCUCAUGAUCAUGUUUUGGCAGAUUACUUUUGCUAUGUCAAGAUUGGUAGGUUCCUGUCAUGGUUGAAGGAUGUUGCAAAUGAAAAUCUAAGUGGCAUGGUGCUUGUUUUAUUUGUGAAUCUAGAGAUUGGUACAAGGUUCUUGCUGGUUGUUGGCACUGGCUUACUACCAGUUCUAUUAGUCCUUCCAUUAAGGAGGCCAUUUAAUAUCUGGUGCAAAGAGGGUGCUGGUAAUUUUGGUCUUGACAAGUAGCAGAGCUGUAUCAAAAAUAAUUCUCAGGAAGGGUUGGACUCAAAGAACGUUCAUUAGAAGCAUCAGCAGCAGCAGGAAAAGUUUUUGCAUCAAACAGGAGGAUAGGAAGUUUUCUCUUGAGCAGCAGUGACACAAAGAUGAAAGCUUGAUUGCUUGUAGUUUUUAUUUCCCCUGGUUUUGGUUGCAAUUUUUAAAGAUUAUUUUACUUCUUUGAUAUGUUGACAGUAGAUUUACUUCUUUGGUGUUUGGUUGGCUCUAAAGAUAUUUAUAGUCUUUGUUGUAUUGCAUGUUUCUUUUAAUAAUAAUUACUCCAAAGAAA